rnacentral:rRNA from 1 species
GAUGAACGCUGGCGGCGUGCCUAAUACAUGCAAGUCGAGUGAACAGAUGAGGAGCUUGCUCCUCUGACGUUAGCGGCGGACGGGUGAGUAACACGUGGAUAACCUACCUAUAAGACUGGGAUAACUUCGGGAACCGGAGCUAAUACCGGAUAAUAUAUUGAACCGCAUGGUUCAGUAGUGAAAGACGGUUUUGCUGUCACUUGUAGAUGGAUCCGCGCCGCAUUAGCUAGUUGGUAAGGUAAAGGCUUACCAAGGCAACGAUGCGUAGCCGACCUGAGAGGGUGAUCGGCCACACUGGAACUGAGACACGGUCCAGACUCCUACGGGAGGCAGCAGUAGGGAAUCUUCCGCAAUGGGCGAAAGCCUGACGGAGCAACGCCGCGUGAGUGAUGAAGGUCUUCGGAUCGUAAAACUCUGUUAUUAGGGAAGAACAAAUGUGUAAGUAACUAUGCACGUCUUGACGGUACCUAAUCAGAAAGCCACGGCUAACUACGUG